rnacentral:rRNA from 1 species
UACGAAGGGGGCUAGCGUUGCUCGGAAUCACUGGGCUUAAAGGGUGCGUAGGCGGUCUGUUAAGUAGGGUGUGAAAGCCUCUGGCUCAACCAGAGAAUGGCGCCCUAAACUGGCGGGCUUGAGUGAGGUAGGGGUGUGUGGAACUUCCAGUGGAGCGGUGAAAUGUGUUGAUAUUGGAAGGAACGCCGGUGGCGAAAGCGACACACUGGACCUUGUCUGACGCUGAGGCACGAAAGCCAGGGGAGCGAACGGG